GGGCUUGACUGGAAUUGACAGCGAGUUGGAAUGGUAUGUAAGCAUGCAGUGGGUCGGUAAUUUCCACUUAAAUCUCAGUUAUCAAAAUUUUAUCUGGCAACGAAAAUUAUGCUCUCGCUGCUUAAUCGAAGUAUAGUAGAUUAACUUUAUUUCUGCCAAAGUGGUGGAAACGAGAUGUCGCUCAAAAGCUCUUGCUCCGAAGCGUUUGAUAAAGCGGCACAGCAAAAUCGGGGAUAGUUUGAGUUCUUCUCCAUAGCUCUUACGAAAUAUUAGGGGAUAAGGCAUAGGU
rnacentral:tmRNA from 1 species